UACGAAGGGGGCUAGCGUUGCUCGGAAUUACGUGGGCGUAAAGGGCGCGUAGGCGGACAGUUUAGUCAGAGGUGAAAGCCCCAGGGCUCAACCUUGGAACUGCCUUUGAUACUGACUGUCUUGAGUUCGGGAGAGGUGAGUGGAAUGCCGAGUGUAGAGGUGAAAUUCGUAGAUAUUCGGCGGAACACCAGUGGCGAAGGCGACUCACUGGCCCGAUACUGACGCUGAGGCGCGAAAGCGUGGGGAGCAAACAGG
rnacentral:rRNA from 1 species